AUAGUUAAUUUAGCUCUACAUGGGAUGGGUUCCGAAUUUCUCAAGGGAUAUUACAGGCUCUUCCAUCCAACUCCUAUUCCGACAUGUCCUAGUCGUGCAGAGUGGUAACAUGUGCCACCACAUAUCCAAGCUUGGGUACACGGGCUUGUCCCAACCCCUUGGGUGGAUGGUGGCAUAUGUCACACCAGGAGGGA
rfam:Anopheles quadriannulatus strain QTAD4_A unplaced genomic scaffold supercont1.991, whole genome shotgun sequence.